AGCGGUGGAUCACUCGGCUCAUAUGUCGAUGAAGGCCGCAGCAAAAUGCGAAAGAUAGUGUGAAUUGCAGGACACAUUGAACAUCGAUAUUCUGAACGCAAAUUGCAGAGCGAAGCUUGUCUUCGUUCAACGCCUGUCUGAGGGUCAUUGA
rnacentral:rRNA from 1 species